GAGGCCAGCAGUACCAGUCACCCCGUGGAAACGCUCACUCUUUCUCUCCUUGUCUCUCCCUCUCUCCACUUCUUCUCCUUUCUCUCCCUCUUUCGCAGUCUCUCCUUUGCCACACAGGCCUCGCUUCCCAUCUGAGCCAGGCGGAGAGCGUCAGUAGCAAAACGGAAAAACCGUGCUCAGGGUUUGUGGCACACCAGCGCUCGGCAGCCACCUCAGGAAGAACAGGAAGUUUGACCCAAGGUUAGCAG
ensembl:lncRNA